rnacentral:rRNA from 1 species
UACAGAGGUCUCGAGCGUUGUUCGGAUUCAUUGGGCGUAAAGGGCGCGUAGGCGGCGGGGUAAGUCUGGUGUGAAAUCUCGGAGCUCAACUCCGAAAUUGCACUGGAUACUGCUCUGCUAGAGGGCUGGAGAGGAGAUCGGAAUUCACGGUGUAGCAGUGGAAAUGCGUAGAUAUCGUGAGGAAGACCAGUGGCGGAAGGCGGAUCUCUGGACAGCUCCUGGACGCUGAGGCGCGAAGGCUAGGGAGCAAACGGG